UACGUAGGGGGCAAGCGUUGUUCGGAAUUACUGGGCGUAAAGGGCUCGUAGGCGGCCAACUAAGUCAGACGUGAAAUCCCUAGGCUCAACCUAGGAACUGCGUCUGAUACUGGAUGGCUUGAAUCCGGGAGAGGGAUGCAGAAUUCCAGGUGUAGCGGUGAAAUGCGUAGAUAUCUGGAGGAAUACCGGUGGCGAAGGCGGCAUCCUGGACCGGCAUUGACGCUGAGGAGCGAAAGCCAGGGGAGCAAACGGG
rnacentral:rRNA from 1 species